UGCAGAGGUCCCAAGCGUUGUUCGGAUUCACUGGGCGUAAAGGGUGCGUAGGCGGUCGGGUAAGUCUGGCGUGAAAUCUCCAAGCCUAACUUGGAAACUGCGUUGGAUACUAUCCGGCUCGAGGAAUGGAGGGGAGACUGGAAUACUUGGUGUAGCAGUGAAAUGCGUAGAUAUCAAGUGGAACACCAGUGGCGAAGGCGAGUCUCUGGACGGUGACUGACGCUGAGACGUGAAAGCGUGGGGAGCAAACAGG
rnacentral:rRNA from 1 species